AACGAACGCUGGCGGCAUGCCUAACACAUGCAAGUCGAACGAGACCUUCGGGUCUAGUGGCGCACGGGUGCGUAACGCGUGGGAACCUGCCCUUAGGUUCGGAAUAACUCCCCGAAAGGGGUGCUAAUACCGGAUAAUGUCUUCGGACCAAAGAUUUAUCGCCUUUGGAUGGGCCUGCGUUGGAUUAGCUAGUUGGUAGGGUAAAAGCCUACCAAGGCGACGAUCCAUAGCUGGUCUGAGAGGAUGAUCAGCCACACUGGGACUGGGACACGGCCCAGACUCCUACGGGAGGCAGCAGUGGGGAAUAUUGGACAAUGGGCGAAAGCCUGAUCCAGCAAUGCCGCGUGAGUGAUGAAGGCCUUAGGGUUGUAAAGCUCUUUUACCCGGGAUGAUAAUGACAGUACCGGGAGAAUAAGCUCCGGCUAACUCCGUG
rnacentral:rRNA from 1 species